rnacentral:rRNA from 1 species
UACGAAGGGGGCUAGCGUUGUUCGGAAUUACUGGGCGUAAAGGGCUCGUAGGUGGCCAACUAAGUCAGACGUGAAAUCCCUCGGCUUAACCGGGGAACUGCGUCUGAUACUGGAUGGCUAGAGUUUGGGAGAGGGAUGCGGAAUUCCAGGUGUAGCGGUGAAAUGCGUAGAUAUCUGGAGGAACACCGGUGGCGAAGGCGGCAUCCUGGACCAACACUGACGCUGAGGAGCGAAAGCCAGGGGAGCAAACGGG